UACGUAGGGGGCUAGCGUUGUCCGGAAUCAUUGGGCGUAAAGAGCGUGUAGGCGGCUUGGCAAGUCUGACGUGAAAGCCCGCGGCUCAACCGCGGAUUGUCGUUGGAAACUGCCUCGCUAGAGUCCGGAAGAGGAGAGCGGAAUUCCUGGUGUAGCGGUGGAAUGCGCAGAUAUCAGGAAGAACACCCGUGGCGAAGGCGGCUCUCUGGGGACGGUACUGACGCUGAGACGCGAAAGCGUGGGGAGCGAACAGG
rnacentral:rRNA from 1 species